AUGCCUCCUUCCCCUGCCCUCGGCGCCCCAGCACGAGUAAAGGGCUUGCUUGUUCAGGAGCUGGCAAGGCCAAUUAAUCUAAUGAGGUUUUGCAGCCAGGGACUAUUGUCAGCCAGGAAAGGCGCAGCGCUGCAGCGCGAGCACACGGGCGGCUCCUGGAAGCCAAGGGGAUUUGGCACGGCGCAGCCCGCGCUGAAGGCAGGGACGGAUCCUUCUGUUGUGCCCCCGACCAGCAAGACCCACGCCCGAAAAUCAGGCACGCAUCGAGCCCACAGAACGCACCUGAAAGCGGGGCUGCGAGCCAGAGCUGCUCUGGCUGGGGAGAUUAAUGGCAGCAGGGACCUUGAGUUGCUGAAAUGGAGGCAAAAAAUCGGUGGCAGCCCCUUCCCAGCCCUGCCGCAGCUGCUGUGCUCUCCGCGAGCAGGAGCAGGGGCUCAUUUUGUGCGGCAGGGAGCACACCGAGGCCGGCAGCUCCUCCGGGUUAUUUCCUGGGUGCUGCUGCUGCCCAGAUUCAGCUCCCCCCCCCCCCCCCCCCGGUGACCCCCAACCUGCCCUGGCUGCGUUUCGGCACUGGAGGGGAUUUCUGCGGGGAUGGCCCAGAGGAGGCAGCUCAGGACUGGUGUCCUUCGGGAGCCUCCAGCACCCAGCCUGGGUGCCCUCGAUGAAAUGCCGAACGCUCCAGGCUCCUCAAAUUCUGGCCCAGCAGCGCUGGGAGAUGCCCUGCAGGGCACUCACGCGGCCCGGCACCCCGCCACACUCCCAGGCAGGAGAAAUUAAGAGCCAGGCAAGCGGCAGCAGCCCCCGUGCCCAGGACCAGCCCCUUUCCCCCUGCUAAGGAAGCACCCACAGCUCCCCACACACGCCCGGAGUAACACACGGAGGCACCGAGUGGAUAGAAAGGUUUUUAUCAAGUUUACAGUUUUAAAAAAGGAUCACAAUUGUUUUUUUGUUUUGUGGUUGGGUUUUUUUUUUUUUUUUACAUGUACAUUACCAAAAAAAAUUGCAAUUGGGAUCUUCAUCCAGGGGUUACUGAGCCGAUUAUAAAAAAAAAAAAAAAGGCAGCAGGAAAGCCUGGCUUACACGGCAACCGACAGAGAAAAGUACAGACAGACAGGACACGGGAAAACAGGAGGCAGCGAGUCUGCGCCCGGCUGCGCAGGUACGGGCCCGGCUCCGCUCCCCCCGGCGCGCACACGCACCCCAGGCAGCAGGGUCUGGCCGCCAGCGUCUGUUUUGCAGGGGUAAAAAUAAACCCAAAGCAAAUGAGUCUACA
rnacentral:lncRNA from 1 species